AUGAACGCUGGCGGCGUGCCUAAUACAUGCAAGUCGAGCGAACGGACGAGAAGCUUGCUUUUCUGAUGUUAGCGGCGGACGGGUGAGUAACACGUGGAUAACCUACCUAUAAGACUGGGAUAACUUCGGGAAACCGGAGCUAAUACCGGAUAAUAUUUUGAACCGCAUGGUUCAAAAGUGAAAGACGGUCUUGCUGUCACUUAUAGAUGGAUCCGCGCUGCAUUAGCUAGUUGGUAAGGUAACGGCUUACCAAGGCAACGAUGCAUAGCCGACCUGAGAGGGUGAUCGGCCACACUGGAACUGAGACACGGUCCAGACUCCUACGGGAGGCAGCAGUAGGGAAUCUUCCGCAAUGGGCGAAAGCCUGACGGAGCAACGCCGCGUGAGUGAUGAAGGUCUUCGGAUCGUAAAACUCUGUUAUUAGGGAAGAACAUAUGUGUAAGUAACAGUGCACAUCUUGACGGUACCUAAUCAGAAAGCCACGGCUAACUACGUG
rnacentral:rRNA from 1 species